UGGAUAUUUUAUUGUACUUAAACUAGUACUAUGCUUAAUGAUAGUCUUUUGUGCUUUGUAGAUCAUCUGGCAAAGAGAUUUGCAGAGUGUCGGGUGACCGGCAAAGAGAUCUGCAAAGUGUCAGGUGAAGACGACGGGAGGGGUCGCGGAGGAAUUAGUGACUGGAGAAUAGCAUGCAGGAGUGGGUGAUCCCUGAAUAGCUGCCCUGGGAGGAGAGCUGCGGACACAUGCUCCAAAUGUUGGGACAUAUGCAUUACCUAUUAGGAGAUGCGGUAAAGAUGCCGGCUGUCAGGUAUACGGCAGUCAGAAUACUGACACUUGGAUCCCGACACUUCAGAAUCCCGACGUUGGAACUCGGAAUGGGCAAGGA